UACAGAGGUGGCAAGCGUUGUUCGGAAUUACUGGGCGUAAAGGGCGCGUAGGCGGCCUUCUUAGUCGGACGUGAAAUCCCCAGGCUCAACUUGGGAACUGCGUCCGAUACUGGAUGGCUUGAGUGCGGGAGAGGGAUGUGGAAUUCCAGGUGUAGCGGUGAAAUGCGUAGAUAUUGGGAAGAACACCGGUGGCGAAGGCGGCGAGCUGGCCUGUACCUGACGCUGAGGCGCGAAAGCCAGGGGAGCAAACGGG
rnacentral:rRNA from 1 species